GCAGGAUCAACCAGGUAGCAUUCCUCACUGACAUCAGCCCGCACGACACAAGGCCGGAACGGGACCGAACGUCGUUCGAAAUAAGCACUUAAGCCUUUGAGGACAAAUAGGAGUCGUGGACUCCGUGCCCUUGUAGUUUUCUGCAUCCCAGCGCCCGAGCAAGAACUCAUGCACCAUGGAACCGACAACAAACGUGUGGUCCAUGGGUCACAAAUCUCGCUGCGAGUUUCACCCGCGGCCGCACCGAGAAAACGGUCAGCCUAAGGUGAACCAAGAGAGAUUGACUACCAAAUUCCAUCAUCUAGGUAUGCAACACAGGAAACCGAAGGACGGCCAAUAGAAAUUAUGCCAACAAUGAAGAGGAAAGCAGGGUAAGACGUCACCGCACAAAGCAGGGAUCCAACCAACCCAAGCUAUC
rnacentral:misc_RNA from 1 species